rnacentral:rRNA from 1 species
UACAGGGGGCGCGAGCGUUGCUCGGAAUCACUGGGCGUAAAGCGUUCGCAGGCGGGUCGAUAAGUCCGUUGUGAAAUCCCGGGGCUCAACCCUGGAAUGCCGGUGGAAACUGCCGGGCUGGAGUCCGGAAGAGGCGAGUGGAAUUCCUGGUGUAGCGGUGAAAUGCGCAGAUAUCAGGAGGAACACCGGUGGCGAAGGCGGUUCUCUGGGCCUGUACUGACGCUGAGGAACGAAAGCGUGGGGAGCGAACAGG